GAUUACACUACUCUUCAAAAGAAUGAGGACCUGAUACAACGCUGCAUUUACAGCAGCCCUCUCUCAAGUCUGAAAUGUCACAUGAUUCUACAGAAAUCAUUCUAACAUGCUGAUAUAUUGCUAAGGCUUUCUGUGUGCGACCUUCACACAGAGAGGGUGAUGGAGCAGUAGGAAUGGCAGGACCACCACCCUCCCCCCCUUAGAGGGAAAAGGCCACAUAGGGAAAACCGCACCUCCCAGAAUGCCAUGCUCCCAGACUGCCCCCUCCUCCCAGGCUGGCAGGGCUGGUCUCUGUGGGCUGCUUGUGCUAUGAGACCUGACAGCAGGGCUCUCCGGGGCACUGGCUGAGGAGAGGAGGUGAACAUUGCCCCAAGGACAUUGUGCAGCCCCUGCCACCCCCGCACACACCCAAAACACACAUACAUUACACAAACAUCUUUUGCAUCUUUAGUAAUGGAAGUACUUUUUUGUGUGUGUCCAAACCAGUGAA